GGGCUCGUAGCUCAGCUUGGAUAGAGCGGCACUCUCCUACCCAUAUAACCUUUUCUUUUUGGAAAAAAGAAAAGGUUCUGAGGGUUUCACUCCAAAAGAAAAAGAGAAUGGUUGAAACUUUUGAAAUGAAAUCUUCGGUCCUGCUAUUUGCAAAGGAGUUUGUGAAGAAAGGUGAAGGUCGUGAGUUCAAAUCUCACCGGGCCCG
rnacentral:tRNA from 1 species